rfam:Schistosoma margrebowiei strain Zambia genome assembly, scaffold: SMRZ_scaffold0002632
GUCCAACCAAUGAGUCCCAAAUAGGACGAAACGUGAGUCCUGGAU